rnacentral:rRNA from 1 species
UACGGGGGGAGCAAGCGUUGUUCGGAUUUACUGGGCGUAAAGGGCGCGUAGGUGGGUCGGUAAGUCAGUGGUGAAAUCUCUGGGCUUAACCCGGAAACUGCCAUUGAUACUAUCGAUCUUGAAUAUCGCGUAGGUAAGCGGAAUAUGUCAUGUAGCGGUGAAAUGCUUAGAUAUGACAUAGAACACCAAUUGCGAAGGCAGCUUACUUCACGAUCAUUGACACUGAGGCACGAAAGCGUGGGGAGCAAACAGG